UUUAAACACUAGUUCCUGUAUGAUCAUCGAAGUUAACCAACAUUAAGCCAGGUCAGUGACUAGAUGGGUGACCACUUGGGAAUACCAGGUGCUGUAAG